GACGAACGCUGGCGGCGUGCUUAACACAUGCAAGUCGAACGGAAAGGCCCUGCUUUUGUGGGGUGCUCGAGUGGCGAACGGGUGAGUAACACGUGAGUAACCUGCCCUUGACUUUGGGAUAACUUCAGGAAACUGGGGCUAAUACCGGAUAGGAGCUCCUGCUGCAUGGUGGGGGUUGGAAAGUUUCGGCGGUUGGGGAUGGACUCGCGACUUAUCAGCUUGUUGGUGGGGUAGUGGCUUACCAAGGCUUUGACGGGUAGCCGGCCUGAGAGGGUGACCGGCCACAUUGGGACUGAGAUACGGCCCAGACUCCUACGGGAGGCAGCAGUGGGGAAUAUUGCACAAUGGGCGGAAGCCUGAUGCAGCAACGCCGCGUGCGGGAUGACGGCCUUCGGGUUGUAAACCGCUUUCGCCUGUGACGAAGCGUGAGUGACGGUAAUGGGUAAAGAAGCACCGGCUAACUACGU
rnacentral:rRNA from 1 species